CCUACGGGAGGCAGCAGUGGGGAAUAUUGCACAAUGGGGGAAACCCUGAUGCAGCGACGCCGCGUGAGUGAAGAAGUAAUUCGUUAUGUAAAGCUCUAUCAGCAGGGAAGAAAUUGACGGUACCUUAUGAGAAAGCCACGGCUAACUACGUGCCAGCAGCCGCGGUAAUACGUAGGUGGCAAGCGUUAUCCGGAAUUAUUGGGCGUAAAGAGCGCGCAGGUGGUUAAUUAAGUCUGAUGUGAAAGCCCACGGCUUAACCGUGGAGGGUCAUUGGAAACUGGUUGACUUGAGUGCAGAAGAGGGAAGUGGAAUUCCAUGUGUAGCGGUGAAAUGCGUAGAGAUAUGGAGGAACACCAGGGGCGAAGGCGGCUUCCUGGUCUGCAACUGACACUGAGGCGCGAAAGCGUGGGGAGCAAACAGGAUUAGAUACCCCAGUAGUC
rnacentral:rRNA from 1 species